GAGCAGAUGAUGAGAAUUAUUAGUUUUGAAUGCUGACACUUCGUGAAGCUUUUCAAACCGAGCUUUUUAAAACUGAUGCUCA